rnacentral:lncRNA from 1 species
AUUUGAAGCCCUAAUCUCUCUAUCCCCCAAUUUUCUCUCAAUCUCCUCUCAAAUUCUAGAUUCAUAUGCUACAAAAUGAUGCAAAUGAAACAACUCUUGAAAAUCAAGCAACACUUCGAAGACAAUGUGGAGAAACGAAGGUGUCUCGCUCGCAAAGAUGUUUCGGCUUUCUUUUCUCCUACAUGGUGCACCCCAUUUGAGACUCUAUCUUGGGUUGCUUACUGCAAGGCCAUCCUCAUCUUUCAACUUCGUUUAUGCAUUUUUAUUUUUUUUUUGGAUCUGAAAUUGACUCUAGACUUCAAGAGUUUCUUCAAGGUUCAAUUGAAUUUUCUAUUGUGUUGUUACUUCAAGAGUUUUCUCCUUUUAAGUGGCAGGAAAUUACAAUCGUGUAAUGGUGUCUUGCUAUACUAAAACAGAGUUCAAUUUGUUUGAAAAUUAAGGAAAUGUAGAAGGGGUGAAAAUCUUAUAAUUCAAGCAGUUUGAAUGCUGUUUCAAUUCUAUGUUUUCUAUUUAUUUUAUUUAUUUAUUGUAGUAUUCUUUGUUUUGUUUAGGUCAAAGGUUCACUUGGCUACAUGGAUGUUGUGUUGAAUCUGAUUGUCUAGAGAAAAUCAAUCUUUUGCAAGACAAAAAAUGUAAGUAAUCCUCAUUCCUAUGCUAUAGAUUAUUGUAUAUCUAAUGAAAUGUUCCACUUGCUGUG